UAGGGAAUCUUCCGCAAUGGGCGAAAGCCUGACGGAGCAACGCCGCGUGAGUGAUGAAGGUCUUCGGAUCGUAAAACUCUGUUAUUAGGGAAGAACAAAUGUGUAAGUAACUAUGCACGUCUUGACGGUACCUAAUCAGAAAGCCACGGCUAACUACGUGCCAGCAGCCGCGGUAAUACGUAGGUGGCAAGCGUUAUCCGGAAUUAUUGGGCGUAAAGCGCGCGUAGGCGGUUUUUUAAGUCUGAUGUGAAAGCCCACGGCUCAACCGUGGAGGAUCAUUGGAAACUGGAAAACUUGAGUGCAGAAGAGGAAAGUGGAAUUCCAUGUGUAGCGGUGAAAUGCGCAGAGAUAUGGAGGAACACCAGUGGCGAAGGCGACUUUCUGGUCUGUAACUGACGCUGAUGUGCGAAAGCGUGGGGAUCAAACAGG
rnacentral:rRNA from 1 species